rnacentral:rRNA from 1 species
GCGUGGAGGAAGAAGGUCUUCGGAUUGUAAACUCCUGUUGUUGAGGAAGAUAAUGACGGUACUCAACAAGGAAGUGACGGCUAACUACGUGCCAGCAGCCGCGGUAAAACGUAGGUCACAAGCGUUGUCCGGAAUUACUGGGUGUAAAGGGAGCGCAGGCGGGAGAACAAGUUGGAAGUGAAAUCCAUGGGCUCAACCCAUGAACUGCUUUCAAAACUGUUUUUCUUGAGUAGUGCAGAGGUAGGCGGAAUUCCCGGUGUAGCGGUGGAAUGCGUAGAUAUCGGGAGGAACACCAGUGGCGAAGGCGGCCUACUGGGCACCAACUGACGCUGAGGCUCGAAAGUGUGGGUAGCAAACAGGAUUAGAUACCCUGGUAAUCCACACCGUAAACGAUGAUUACUAGGUGUUGGAGGAUUGACCCCUUCAGUGCCGCAGUUAACACAAUAAGUAAUCCACCUGGGGAGUACGACCGCAAGG